AUUGGAGGCAGGCCGGCGGGAGCAGACAGGCCGGGGCUGGGGCCCAUUAAGGCCGGAGCCCAGCCGGCCUCGCUGUUUACCGUCUCAGCACAAGGUUUCAGUAAAUUCCAAACAGAUGGGCCCGUCAUCUCUCCCACUUCUGAAGUUGAGAGGGAAUAUCGGCCAUGGGGGAACCAGAAAGCACUCCCUUCCUCAGACUAGACCAUCUCAGCCUCUUGGAAGUUCCUUCGCCUGGGUCUCCUGCUUGCCUGGACUGAUGGGAUAUUAAAAAGUAUUGCCUUCA